AUGUAGGUAUCUACCCUGUGGCCUGGAAUAACACGAGGAAACUUGUGCUAAUACCGGAUAAGUCUUUACGGAGAAAGCUUUAUGCACCAUUGGAUGAGCCUGCACUUGAUUAGUUUGUUGGUAGGGUAAUGGCCUACCAAGACUUUGAUCAAUAGCUGAUUUGAGAGGAUGAUCAGCCACAUUGGGACUGAGACACGGCCCAAACUCCUACGGGAGGCAGCAGUGGGGAAUCUUGCACAAUGGAGGAAACUCUGAUGCAGCGAUGCCGCGUGAGUGAAGAAGGCCUUUGGGUUGUAAAGCUCUUUCGUCGGGG
rnacentral:rRNA from 1 species